rnacentral:ncRNA from 1 species
GAAUCGGGAGAGACCGCCCAGGCGGCGCCGAAGGGGAACGCAGAAGCUCUCAGGCAAAAGGACCGAUUUC